CACGUGCCCAGAUACAAAGCACACUGCUGUCAAUGGCGUCCCUUCGUAUUAUAGCAACAUCUGUGUUUGCAGUUGUCCUGUUGAAAGGUGUUGAGGGAGCAGUGAGUGUAUCAGGGUCAGGAGGUACAGGGAUACCCAACCAGCAGACUCUGACACUGAGAUGCAGCUACACUGGGACACCUGGUGAUAU